rnacentral:rRNA from 1 species
GACGAACGCUGGCGGCGUGCUUAACACAUGCAAGUCGAACGGAAAGGCCUGCAGCUUGCUGCGGGUACUCGAGUGGCGAACGGGUGAGUAACACGUGGGUGAUCUGCCUUGCACUUCGGGAUAAGCUUGGGAAACUGGGUCUAAUACCGGAUAGGACAGCUGUUUAGUGUCAGUUGUGGAAAGUUUUUUCGGUGCAAGAUGAGCUCGCGGCCUAUCGGCUUGUUGGUGGGGUAAUGGCCUACCAAGGCGUCGACGGGUAGCCGGCCUGAGAGGGUGUACGGCCACAUUGGGACUGAGAUACGGCCCAGACUCCUACGGGAGGCAGCAGUGGGGAAUAUUGCACAAUGGGCGGAAGCCUGAUGCAGCGACGCCGCGUGGGGGAUGAAGGCCUUCGGGUUGUAAACUCCUUUCGACAGGGACGAAGCUUUUGUGACGGUACCUGUAUAAGAAGCACCGGCUAACUACGUGCCAGCAGCCGCGGUAAUACGUAGGGUGCGAGCGUUGUCCGGAAUUACUGGGCGUAAAGAGCUCGUAGGUGGUUUGUCGCGUCGUCUGUGAAAUUCCGGGGCUUAACUCCGGGCGUGCAGGCGAUACGGGCUGACUUGAGUGCUGUAGGGGAGACUGGAAUUCCUGGUGUAGCGGUGAAAUGCGCAGAUAUCAGGAGGAACACCGAUGGCGAAGGCAGGUCUCUGGGCAGUAACUGACGCUGAGGAGCGAAAGCGUGGGUAUCAAACAGGAUUAGAUACCCUGGUAGUCCACGCCGUAAACUAUGAUUACUCAGAGUAUGCGAUAUACAGUAUGCUCUCAAGCGAAAGCAUUAAGUAAUCCACCUGGGGAGUACGUCGGCAACGAUGAAACUCAAAGGAAUUGACGGGGGCCCGCACAAGCGGAGGAACAUGUGGUUUAAUUCGAUGAUACGCGAGGAACCUUACCUGGGAUUGAAAUGUAUAGGCUGGCAGCUGGAAACAGCUGCUGUUCACUUCGGUGACUUAUAUGUAGGUGCUGCAUGGUUGUCGUCAGCUCGUGCCGUGAGGUGUCGGCUUAAGUGCCAUAACGAGCGCAACCCUUAUCGUUAGUUGCUAACAGGUUAAGCUGAGGACUCUGGCGAGACUGCCGUCGUAAGGCGAGAGGAAGGUGGGGAUGACGUCAAAUCAGCACGGCCCUUAUAUCCAGGGCGACACACGUGUUACAAUGGUGAGGACAAAGGGUAGCUACCUGGUGACAGGAUGCCAAUCUCCAAACCUCAUCUCAGUUCGGAUCGAAGUCUGCAACUCGACUUCGUGAAGCUGGAUUCGCUAGUAAUCGCGCAUCAGCCAUGGCGCGGUGAAUACGUUCCCGGGCCU